rnacentral:lncRNA from 1 species
UAGUUUUAAACAGCAAAGCAACAAACAAAUUAUAGUCUUGCCAACAAACGCAAAGAACAAUCUUGAUAGACUAACAUUUUCAACAGCUAAGAGAUAGAACAGAUGUGCUAAGAAGAAACAUCACUUUAGAACUAAGCAUGUCAAUUCAAAAUAAGAAACCUCCAGAUGUGCUAAGCAUCACCGAUUGAUCACCCAAACCUGUCCAAACAAAUGGAACAAUUAGAUUGGAAGAUAAAGGCCCAAGUGAAUAUGGUUGAGUGGAAGGUAAAGACACAAAUAUCAUACCUACUAAGCCAUCCCAUUUCUUAGCCAAAUCAAAGCUGAUUCUUGAUCCGCUUCACAUGCACAUAUGAAAGUCUCUCUAUUCUCUUUGCUCUUGUUGAAGACUGAAUAUGCUUUUGCCUUCUCCAG